rnacentral:rRNA from 1 species
GACGAACGCUGGCGGCGUUCCUAAUACAUGCAAGUAGAACGCAGUUUCGAACGGGUGAGUAACGCGUAGGUAACCUGCCUCAUAGCGGGGGAUAACUAUCUGAAACGAUAGCUAAUACCGCAUACUGUGAGAUGGACCUGCGUUGUAUUAUCUAGUUGGUGAGGUAAAGGCUCACCAAGUCGACGGUACAUAGCCGACCUGAGAGGGUGCUCGGCCACGACGGGACCGAUACACGGCCCAGACUCCUACGGGAGGCAGCAGCAGGGGAUCUUCGGCAAUGGACGGAAGUCUGACCACGCAACGCCGCGCGAGUGAAGAAGGGUUUCUGAUCUUAAAGCUCUGUUGUUAGAGACGCGGUAACUAACCAGAAAGGGUCGGCUAACUACGUGCCAGCAGCCGCGGUAAUUC